UUUUUUUAGCUUUUUGUUCACUAUGAUGUGCUAUUAAGAUUCUAGUGGUGUGUAGACUGGUGUGUCUUCCCCAAUGAGCUUCACAAGCUACUAAUUCCUCUUUAUGUUGUCUAUAUGCGAAUGAUUAUUUUAAAUCAUAACUAGCUUAUCAAAACUGUCCAAAUUCAGUUGUUCUAGUGAGACUAGGUGUCAUCUAGACCUUAAUAAUUGCUGGAGAUGUUCUCUGAAUAUUGUUGAGUUCCAGUAGUUUUCCAAAUCUGUAGCAAAUCUCUUUUCACUGUGCUAUUUAGGACAAAAUAGCAAAUUAGUGUGAUCUUGUAAGAUGGUUACCUUUGUUUGAAGUGAUGAUUUCUUCUGAGAACUGCUGGACUAAUAGUUUAAGACAAUUGACCUUUCCUUUAAUUUAAAAUGCUGGUCCUAGAACUGGUUAGGAAUUUCAUGAAUAUUGUUGUGAUUUCCUUUUUCUUUAGUCAGCUGAUAUUACUGCUUGUUCUAGUUGGAAUGACUAUAUGCUUCUAAAAGAAAGAUUGAGGGAACAUCUUUUAUUGACACUUAACAUCUCCUAUUACAUGUAUAUUUUCUGAAACUGAAUGUGGAUCUUAAAUGAUAAACUAAGGCAAGCUUAGGGAUUGGUUUAACCUCCUCCAAUAACCUACCAUGCCGAGGUUCUAGAAACCUUUGGAUCUUGUGUGGCAUUGGAAUAUGGAUGGUGGUAACCCCCUUUUUAUAUCUUGUCUUUUAAAGUGCUGGUUUAGCCUGAUGAUUCAUGAUCAGUUUUAAGUUUACUUUUUUUUUUUCUUUCUUUAAAAUGCUGAGUUUGUUUGAUUGAACUUAGCUCUACUCAUCUCUUUAGUUAUUAGCCUCAUGUAUGAUUCAAAUUUGUGAAAUAAAGUUAUGUUUGACUCUGUUGCUUUCUGAGGAGUUUGUUGUUGUUGUGUUAAAACCCCCCAUUUGUUGUCCAUUCUCCAUCCUAAAAAGGGAAACUAGUAAAGCUCAUGUUUCCAUUUAUCUAUCUCUAAACAUGUCUAGAAGCAGGUUGUUCACUUUAUUAUGUAUGAUUUUCCAGAGUAAUAGCAAAGAUAGAAAUGUUUUGAUUAAGACUAGGUUUGAUCCCUCACAUGUGUUAAGAAUCUCAAAACUCCUCAAGACACCAGUUGUAAACUCUAUUUCCCUUUUGGAAUCUGUUCUUUGUAGUUCAAAUCAAUGAUCCUUGAGUGUAAUUUCAACUUUGUUCUCUUAAGUUCUAUUUUGUCAUUGGAAGUAAGUUCAAGUCAUCACCCUGGUAAAGCUUCAAUGUUCAAGUUUGGAAAGAACAUGUUCUUAUUAGCAGAAUCACUUUUGGGCUUAAAAAAUUUUGGUUAGCUAGUCUUCUUUGACUAAUCUAUUUCUUCCUAUAUUUGUGAAGUGCUUCAGAUUGUCAAUGUUGUUUCAAGUUUGUUGUUCUACACUUUGAGCUUAAUAUUGUGUGAUACAAUCUGUUCCUACUUGAAGAGUUCCAGUUAUUUUGUCUCCCUCUAUUUGACUACACAUGUUGUUGUACAGGGAAGAUGAAGAUAGUUUACAGGGUAGUUUGAAAGAAUAGAUCAUUGUUGAUAUAUGCUUGUGUUCAUAUUUAGAAAUAUAACAGGUUCACUAUCAGAACCCUCUGUUUGCAUUAGUAUAGCUAAGCCUAGAGUAAGAAGUCACUGUUUGGGCAUACAAACCUUAGAAAGCUGUUCAUAUAAAACUAAAAUGGCUAAGUACAUUUGCUUUGGCUCAUGAAUUGUAGUAUGUGCUUACUUGGCCGUUCUUCAUUAAUAGUCCUGAAUGAAAUUUUUAAGAUCCAUCAAUAAGCUCUUAUUUUAAAGCUAAAUGAGUAUUAUACAAUCUGUCUUGGGAUUCUUUUUUUGGUUUUAGGCUCAUCCACUUUUGAAACCUUAGCCUCAGUCUUUGUUUGUUACAUUAAUCCUUCAGCAUGUCAAAAUAUAGUAUGUUGUCUUGUUAAUAGCCUGCUAGGCCUGUAUUUUCUUGAUACUUAUUCUUCAUUCUCUCUUUUCUUUGCAUAACUUGGGGGACUUCUCCCAAAUCCCAAUUGUCCAUGAGAUGCUGCCAAAGUUGAGUUUCUGCUGUACUUCUGCUGCACAUUUGGCUGAAAACACUAUGCCAACUACUGUGCUUAACUUUUGUGCCUUUGAUGAGGACAAACACUACAUCAUGAGCUGCUAUAAUUUGGGGCAAAGUUGUCCAUUGCCUUUGAGGUAAACUGCUGCUAUUUAUCAUUGCUGCACUUGCUGUGCUACCUAGUUUGUAUUAUCUUGCCAUUUGCUGCACUUGCAAAAUCCUCAAGUGUUGUGCUUUGACACUUGAACUACUAUACACAAUUAAUGCUACACAUUCUGAUACCCUUGCUACUUUAUGAGACUGUUGUGCUGAGCUGCUUAAUUUGGUUCUUGUCACCUGCUGUGCUUCUUUCACUUUGAGUUUGAGAACAUGUUGUUCCUUGAGUUUGGUUUGCUACAGUUGAUCCAUCUUAAACAACUACUGUUGUUGGGCAUGUGUUAUACUGCUUUUGGGAAGCUGCUAUAUUUGAAUGGAAAAAGAAAAAUAAAUUGCUGCCAUACUUUUAGGCAAAAUAAGCUGCUGCUAUACUUCUUUUUUGCAAGCUGUUGCCCCUUAUUCAUAAAGAACAGAUGCCAUAUUUGAUGAAAGUAAACCAGCAGCUGCUGCUAUGUUCUUAAAAAGGAA